GCGUCGGUGGUUCAGUGGUAGAAUACUCGGCUGCCACGCGGGUGACCCGGGUUCGAUUCCCGGCUGACGCA
rnacentral:tRNA from 1 species